UGGAGUGUCCUAUGUGGCAGGGAGACCUCCACUCAGCAGGACACGACCUGGGAAGAUCAGAAAACCCAUUGGUUUAAGCUACAAAUAGAGAAGAUGUUGAAACACAGAGAAGGCGUAAGAACUAAAGGGAGACACAACCAAGAAGAAGCAAAGAUGGAAGACCAUGCAAGAGUGGACUGAGCACAGAGUGGGAGGGUGAGAGCAAGGUUCUUGGUGUCAGGGAAUGACUGAAAAGAAUAAAGCCAA
rnacentral:lncRNA from 10 species